rnacentral:rRNA from 1 species
UACGGAGGGGGCUAGCGUUGUUCGGAAUUACUGGGCGUAAAGCGCACGUAGGCGGCUUUGUAAGUCAGAGGUGAAAGCCCAGGGCUCAACCCUGGAAUUGCCUUUAAGACUGCAUCGCUUGAACAUCGGAGAGGUAAGUGGAAUUCCGAGUGUAGAGGUGAAAUUCGUAGAUAUUCGGAAGAACACCAGUGGCGAAGGCGACUUACUGGACGAUUGUUGACGCUGAGGUGCGAAAGCGUGGGGAGCAAACAGG